rnacentral:tRNA from 1 species
AUAAGAGCGGGGUUAGCACCCGCCUGCACAGGGCUACAACCUGCCGCCUACUCGGCCAUCUUACCCG